UGGGGAAUAUUGGACAAUGGGCGCAAGCCUGAUCCAGCAAUGCCGCGUGAGUGAAGAAGGCCUUAGGGUUGUAAAGCUCUUUCGCCUGCGACGAUGAUGACGGUAGCAGGAGAAGAAGCCCCGGCUAAUUCCGUGCCAGCAGCCGCGGUAAUACGGAAGGGGCUAGCGUUGUUCGGAAUCACUGGGCGUAAAGCGCGCGUAGGCGGCUCUGUGAGUGAGGCGUGAAAGUCCUGGGCUCAACCCGGGGACGGCGCUUCAGACUGCGGGGCUUGAGUCCGGAAGAGGGUGGUGGAAUUCCGAGUGUAGAGGUGAAAUUCGUAGAUAUUCGGAGGAACACCGGCGGCGAAGGCGGCCACCUGGUCCGGAACUGACGCUCAAGUGCGAAAGCGUGGGGAGCAAACAGG
rnacentral:rRNA from 1 species